GUCACUUGCCAGGCUGACCUUCUUCAGGUGUUCCAGACCCUCAGUGAUUUCCAUCAGUUCCCCCUCUUUGUAAAAUCAUGCAACAGACUUGUGUUUGGGGAAGCAGCAGGCUUAGGAUUGAAGCAGGAGUUCAAUAGAGGUUUUCAGCAGGAGGCUAUGAUAGGAGUCCUCAGUGCUUCCCCAGUGAGCUUGCCUUUUAAUAGCAGGUAACCCUGAGAAUGGGACAGCUAUCAACAAC
rnacentral:lncRNA from 1 species